rnacentral:ncRNA from 2 species
AAGAAGCUACUAUGGAGGAAACUGGGCCAGUUUUAGCUUUUCAGGACUAUUGUCCUGGCUAAAGGAAUACCAGGAAAACAGUGACAUUGUAAGUGACAGUCCAGUGUGGCAAGACCAGAUCCUUGAAAAUGAAGAAGCCAUUGCUCUUAGCAGGAAGGACAAAACUAUUCAACAUGUGGAAGUAUUUUGUUAUGCCAGGUAUGAAAAGUAUUUACUGCAGGUAAACUAAAUUAAUGACUUUUUCACUCUUCUUUAGAAGAAGCCAACAAUAAAGAUUUAUGUGGCAUUGGUUGCUACAAGUCACGUUAA